rnacentral:rRNA from 1 species
CCUACGGGUGGCAGCAGUGAGGAAUAUUGGUCAAUGGGCGGAAGCCUGAACCAGCCAAGUCGCGUGAGGGAUUAAGGCCCUAUGGGUUGUAAACCUCUUUUGUCAGGGAGCAAUGGCGUCCACGUGUGGGCGUAUGGAGAGGACCUGAAGAAAAAGCAUCGGCUAACUCCGUGCCAGCAGCCGCGGUAAUACGGAGGAUGCGAGCGUUAUCCGGAUUUAGUGGGUUUAAGGGGUGCGCAGGCGGAAGAUCAAGUCAGCGGUAAAAUUGAGGGGCUCAACCUCUUCGGGCCGUUGAAACUGGUUUUCUUGAGUGAGUGAGAAGUAUGCGGAAUGCGUGGUGUAGCGGUGAAAUGCAUAGAUAUCACGCAGAACUCCGAUUGCGAAGGCAGCAUACCGGCGCUCAACUGACGCUCAUGCACGAAAGUGUGGGUAUCGAACAGGAUUAGAUACCCGUGUAGUC